UGCUCAUAUCCCCAUAGGCCAGGCUCCCCUCUCCCUUUCCCCCUUUUAUGAUCCCUUUCCCUAAGGGAAAAACCCUCCACUUGUGGCGUUUUUCCUCUCUCUUUUUUUUUUUUUUUUUUUUAAAUUACAUUUGGUCUGCAUGUAUCCCUGCAGGCCAGAAGAGGGCACCAGAUCUCCUUACAGAAUGUUGUGAGCCAUCAUGUAGUUGCUGGGAAUUGAACUCAGGACCUCUGAGAGACUAGCUAGUGUUCUUAACCACUGAGCCAUCUCUCCAAGCCCCGAGCCUCAAGUUUUUAAAAGGCACUUACAAAGAAAGCAAAUUUGAAUGCAAUUUCUUUAGUAGAUACGGGUGUAGUCAGUUUAUUUUGCCAUGGGUAAAUUCCAGUAAUUUGUAGUUGUUAAGGAAUUGACCCAAUCAGUUGGCUCUCAGAGGUUCUCAGAAUGCCCUUAUUAAGGCAUUAACAUCUGCAGGGUCUGUAAAGAUGCCCCAUCCAUCCUGAUAUGUAACCUUUUGUUGUCAUUUGUUAAUCUGGAAAGAAAUGCAAUAAAUUACUGAACUUUUCAAAGAACCAACUUUUUGUUGCUAAGCAGGGUCUCGAGAAGCCUAGGGUGGACUGACAUUUGCUCACAAUGAUGAAUUUGAAUUCUUGAUCCUGCUUUCUUGUCUCCCAGUGCACACCUGUGUGGGUUACAGAUGUGUGCUCAGGAUUACUAAGAAUUUAGUUUUCAAAAAUAAAUUAUAAAAAUUCAAAAAAAUAACUUGCGGGGUUGUAAUAGAAAUACCUACUUUUUACACUGGAUUUAAAAAUCACUGUCUCCCUUUGUCCAUUGGGAUGUAGAGAGCUUACUAUUCUGUUCCUUUACUUUCCUCUGUUAGAAUCUCCCUGAGGAUUACAUCUCCAAACAUUGAAAACCCCAUCAGACAUUGUUAUAUUUGUCUGGCUCAUUAUGUAUAUUUUUAAGAACUUGAAAGUAUGAAAAAUGAUCCACUGUAUGUUUAAAUAACAGGGGUGUGUAUGGUUAUUAUUAUUAUUAUUAUUAUUAUUAUUAUUAUUGAUAGGGUCUCACAAUGUAACUCUGGUUGGCCUUGAACUUGAUAUAUAGACCAGGCUGGCCUUGAAUUCACAGAGAUUCUUCUGCCUCUGUCUCCCAAUUGCUGGGAUUAAAGGUGUUUGCCACUCCUCCCAUCUUUUUAGGCAGACUUUCAUUCUGUAGACCAGGUUGGCCGUGAACUCAGUAUGUAGCCCUGUGCUGCCUUAGACUUGCAGCAAUCCAAGGCUACAUAGCAAGACCCUGUAUUAAAAAAAUUUUUUUUCAGCCGGGCGUUGGUGACAUGCGUCUUUGAUCCCAGCACUCAGGAGGCAUGCACCACCACCACCGCCGCCUGGCUCAUCUAAGGUGUUUUCUAACAAUACUCUUCAUUGAUGGAAUCUUCAAGUUUUGUGACUUUUCUAUCAUCUCUCUUCUGCUAUGGAGCCCAUCUUGUGAAAUAGUCUUUAUUAUUCUUUCCUUUCUCUCUCUCUCUUUCUUUUCUUUUUGAGAUAGGGUCUCACUUGCUGGCCUAGAACUCAACUAUGUAGAUCAGGCUGGACUAGAACUCAGAUCCAUCUGCCUCUGCCUCCCAAAUGCUAGGAUUAAAGGCAUGUGCCACUACACCUAGCAGUUACUGUGUUUUCCAUUGAUUAAUUUCUCAAGUCGCUUGUUUUUAUAUCCUCUGUUUCUCAGCUGACCAUGACUCUAUUUGUUCUAAGAUUCUUCAAGAGUCUGUGUGAUGGCUUUGAGGGUUCUGGCCUUGCUGCCAAGUCUGAUAACCUGAGACUCUUUUGAGAGCCACACGGUGGAAGGAAGGCCCUGUGCCCGCUAGCUUUCCUAAGCGGAGGUGGUGAUAAUUACUCUUGUGAAGUCAGGAAAGGUUUCCAAAGAGGAGAGUGCUAAACCCAGACCUGAGCGGUAAGUAGACAUUAGCAUCAAGAGGAGGACUGGGGGCUGGAGAGAUGGCUCAAAGGUUAAGAGCACUGGCUGCUCUUCCAG
ensembl:lncRNA